GCCCUGGUAGCUCAAUUGGUUAGAGCGUCGGACUUUUACAAGUCAUCUGAUGAGGUAAAAAUCAUCAGGUAUUGUUAAAGUCUAUCCGAAGGCUGCGGGUUCGACCCCCGCCUGGGGCG